rnacentral:lncRNA from 1 species
CUGGAGGGUAUGCUGGGCAUUGUCCAUCAGAAGGAGGCACCUUUGAGGCAGUUGGUUGUCAGAAAGAUAUUUCUUAAUGAUGAGUGCAAACACCUCAUGCAGCCAUUCUGUGAGCAAUUGCCUUGUGACCCAAGCUUUCACAUUGGCAUUCCACAUGACAGGCAGCCUGGUCUUGUGCACAUUCUGUUCCCUGAAUGUAUGAGGGGUCUGGAAAUGUUACACCAGGAGUGGCUUAAUCUUCAAAUCAGCACUUGUGUUCGCACAGAGCAAAAGGGUCAAUCUGUCCUUCAUGGGUUUGUGCAGUAGCCCGAACUUCCAGAAGAGCCCUGUUUCAUCAAGCUUGAGCCUUGUUGAAUGACGUAGCCUUCUGCUCUCAUGAAUUCUGAGAAUUUUUUCUUGUAGGCUUCUGCAGUGGCCUUGUCAGAACUGGAAGCCUCACCAUAUCUUAUCACACUGUGGAUACCACUUCUCUUGUGGAAUUUAUCAAACCACCCUCUACUGGCUCUAAAUUCAUCACUUGUUGCACUUGUAGAGGGGUUUUCUUGUGCACUUGUGUCCUCUGCUUGGUUAGCAACAUUACUCCUUUUGGCAUAUCAGCUCCUUUGAUGGCAUCUUUAUUCUUCAAAAUAGUCAAGAUUGUCGACUUUGCCAUCUUAUACUUCAAGGCCAGAUCAUUCAAACAAAUACCACACUUAUGCUUUUCUACAAUUUCCAUCUUCAAUUCAAUGGUUAUUUUCUUCAAAACUUUCCCCUUACCAGUUUUGCUCUGCACUUUCUUGUCACCUUCAUUACUUCUCUGUGCUUUUUUUUUUUCCACCAUGCUUGCUCUUCAUUUUCUUUGAAGCAAUGGAUGGAAUAAUACUGUACAAUACUGUAUAUGCUAAAAAGCAAACAAAAAGGCUUCACACCAAGUAUGCACAGGUCUGUCUGUGAUUGAAAUCUCAACUGGAGGAAGCCAUGACUACAUAUCAGAGUGGGGAAGAUGGCCGCAGUCAUGUUCCUUGCUGACAGGCCCCCUGAGCCAGACCCCCACACAAGCGGAUCCACUACCUGCAUCCACAGAAGGACAGAGAUAACAGGAAGCCAGCAGCUGACCUGCUGCUUUUACCACCGCCCUGCUUACCAGCCAGCCACAUGCCCAUCACUUAUGAUGAAAAGGAAAAGUGUGGCAUGGGUUAAUCUGAAAAUGGAAUUAAUAACUCCAAAGUUUUGUAGCCUGUAAUAAAUGAUUAUUGUAAGCA